rnacentral:rRNA from 1 species
UACGUAGGGUGCAAGCGUUAAUCGGAAUUACUGGGCGUAAAGCGCGCCUAGGUGGUUCAGUAAGUUGGAAGUGAAAUCCCCGGGCUCAACCUGGGAACUGCUUUCAAAACUGCUGAGCUAGAGUACGGUAGAGGGUGGUGGAAUUUCCUGUGUAGCGGUGAAAUGCGUAGAUAUAGGAAGGAACACCAGUGGCGAAGGCGACCACCUGGACUGAUACUGACACUGAGGUGCGAAAGCGUGGGGAGCAAACAGG